CCUCUAUUCUCAUAAAUUUUGGAAGCACAUUGAUAAUUUGAGGUUUAAUUUCAAAAUUAUUUAUAGUGAGUUGGGGCAACCCGAUGCAAGAAGAUUAAAUGGAAUCGAUUGGAUAACAUAAAUCUUUAAAGAUUUGGGACUGAUUUGGUUCUCCCAUUGUAGAAGUUAUUGGGUUUGAAACAGAAAUCGAAUUAAUUCUUACUAGUCGACCCGACACCCUUCUCUACAAAAGA
rnacentral:lncRNA from 1 species